rnacentral:rRNA from 1 species
AACGAACGCUGGCGGCAGGCCUAACACAUGCAAGUCGAGCGCCCUUUCGGGGGAGCGGCGGACGGGUGAGUAACGCGUGGGAAUAUGCCCUUCUCUACGGAAUAGCCUCGGGAAACUGAGAGUAAUACCGUAUACGCCCUAUGGGGGAAAGAUUUAUCGGGGAAGGAUUAGCCCGCGUUGGAUUAGGUAGUUGGUGGGGUAAUGGCCUACCAAGCCGACGAUCCAUAGCUGGUUUGAGAGGAUGAUCAGCCACACUGGGACUGAGACACGGCCCAGACUCCUACGGGAGGCAGCAGUGGGGAAUCUUAGACAAUGGGGGCAACCCUGAUCUAGCCAUGCCGCGUGAGUGAUGAAGGCCUUAGGGUUGUAAAGCUCUUUCAGUUGGGAAGAUAAUGACGGUACCAGCAGAAGAAGCCCCGGCUAACUCCGUG